UACGAAGGGGGCUAGCGUUGCUCGGAAUUACUGGGCGUAAAGCGCACGUAGGCGGCUUUCUAAGUCGGAGGUGAAAUCCUGGAGCUCAACUCCAGAACUGCCUUCGAUACUGGAGAGCUUGAGUCCGGGAGAGGUGAGUGGAACUGCGAGUGUAGAGGUGAAAUUCGUAGAUAUUCGCAAGAACACCAGUGGCGAAGGCGGCUCACUGGACUGGUAUUGACGCUGAGGUGCGAAAGCGUGGGGAGCAAACAGG
rnacentral:rRNA from 1 species